rnacentral:rRNA from 1 species
AUAUACGACCGUACCGCAAACCGACACUGGUGCGCGAGAUGAGUAUUCUAAGGCGCUUGAGAGAACUCAGGAGAAGGAACUCGGCAGAUUGACACCGUAACUUCGGAAGAAGGUGUGCCCUAUUAAUGUGUAGUGAACAACGAAGCAUGAAUGGGUUGCAAAAAAUCGGUGGCUGCGACUGUUUAUUAAAAACACAGCACUCUGCAAACACGAAAGUGGACGUAUAGGGUGUGACGCCUGCCCGGUGCUGGAAGAUUAAAUGAUGGGGUGCAAGCUCUUGAUUGAAGUCCCAGUAAACGGCGGCCGUAACUAUAACGGUCCUAAGGUAGCGAAAUUCCUUGUCGGGUAAGUUCCGACCUGCACGAAUGGCGUAACGAUGGCCACACUGUCUCCUCCUGAGACUCAGCGAAGUUGAAAUGUUUGUGAUGAUGCAAUCUCCCCGCGGAAAGACGGAAAGACCCCAUGAACCUUUACUGUAGCUUUGUAUUGGACUUUGAACAGAUCUGUGUAGGAUAGGUGGGAGGCUUUGAAGCAGGGUCGCUAGAUCUUGUGGAGCCAACGUUGAAAUACCACCCUGGUGUGUUUGAGGUUCUAACCUAGGUCCAUUAUCUGGAUCGGGGACAGUGCAUGGUAGGCAGUUUGACUGGGGCGGUCUCCUCCCAAAGCGUAACGGAGGAGUUCGAAGGUACGCUAGUUACGGUCGGACAUCGUGACGAUAGUGCAAUGGCAUAAGCGUGCUUAACUGCGAGACUGACAAGUCGAGCAGAUGCGAAAGCAGGACAUAGUGCUCCGGUGGUUCUGUAUGGAAGGGCCAUCGCUCAACGGAUAAAAGGUACUCUGGGGAUAACAGGCUGAUACCGCCCAAGAGUUCAUAUCGACGGCGGUGUUUGGCACCUCGAUGUCGGCUCAUCUCAUCCUGGGGCUGUAGCCGGUCCCAAGGGUAUGGCUGUUCGCCAUUUAAAGAGGUACGUGAGCUGGGUUUAAAACGUCGUGAGACAGUUUGGUCCCUAUCUUCCGUGGGCGCUGCAGAUUUGAGGAAGCCUGCUCCUAGUACGAGAGGACCGGAGUGGACACACCUCUGGUGUAUCGGUUGUCACGCCAGUGGCAUUGCCGAGUAGCUAAGUGUGGAAGAGAUAACCGCUGAAAGCAUCUAAGCGGGAAACUCGUUUCAAGAUGAGAUCUGCCGGGGCCUUGAGCCCCCUAAAGAGUCGUUCAAGACCAGGACGUUGAUAGGUCAGGUGUGGAAGUGAAAAA